AUUGAACGCUGGCGGCAUGCCUUACACAUGCAAGUCGAACGGCAGCACGAGUGCUUGCACCUGGUGGCGAGUGGCGAACGGGUGAGUAAUACAUCGGAACGUACCUUAUCGUGGGGGAUAACGCAGCGAAAGUUGCGCUAAUACCGCAUACGCCCUGAGGGGGAAAGCGGGGGACCGUAAGGCCUCGCGCGAUUAGAGCGGCCGAUGUCUGAUUAGCUUGUUGGUGAGGUAAAAGCUCACCAAGGCGAUGAUCAGUAGCUGGUCUGAGAGGACAAUCAGCCACACUGGGACUGAGACACGGCCCCGCCUCCCACGGGAGGCAGCAGUGGGGAAUUUUGGACAAUGGGGGCAACCCUGAUCCAGCAAUGCCGCGUGAGUGAAGAAGGCCUUCGGGUUGUAAAGCUCUUUUGUCAGGGAAGAAACAGCAGCUCUAACAUAGUCUGCGAAUGACGGUACCUGAAGAAUAAGCACCGGCUAACUACGUGCCAGCCGCCGCCGUAA
rnacentral:rRNA from 1 species